rnacentral:rRNA from 1 species
AGAGCGAACGCUGGCGGCAGGCCUAACACAUGCAAGUCGAGCGCCCGUAGCAAUACGGGAGCGGCAGACGGGAUAGUAACACGUGGGAACGCGCCCUUCGGUUCGGAAUAACUCAGGGAAACUUGAGCUAAUACCGGAUACGGCUGGAAGGCGAAAGAUUCAUCGCCGGGGGAUCGGCCCGCGUCCGAUUAGCUAGUUGGUGUGGUAACGGCGCACCAAGGCGACGAUCGGUAGCUGGUCUGAGAGGAUGAUCAGCCACAUUGGGACUGAGACACGGCCCAAACUCCUACGGGAGGCAGCAGUGGGGAAUAUUGGACAAUGGGCGCAAGCCUGAUCCAGCCAUGCCGCGUGAGUGAUGAAGGCCUUAGGGUUGUAAAGCUCUUUCACCCUACGACGAUAAUGACGGUAGUGGGAGAAGAAGCCCGGACUAACUUCGCGCCAGCAGCCGC